GAUGAACGCUGGCGGCGUGCCUAAUACAUGCAAGUCGAGCGAACAGAUAAGGAGCUUGCUCCUUUGACGUUAGCGGCGGACGGGUGAGUAACACGUGGGUAACCUACCUAUAAGACUGGGAUAACUUCGGGAAACCGGAGCUAAUACCGGAUAACAUUUGGAACCGCAUGGUUCUAAAGUGAAAGAUGGUUUUGCUAUCACUUAUAGAUGGACCCGCGCCGUAUUAGCUAGUUGGUAAGGUAACGGCUUACCAAGGCAACGAUACGUAACCGACCUGAGAGGGUGAUCGGCCACACUGGAACUGAGACACGGUCCAGACUCCUACGGGAGGCAGCAGUAGGGAAUCUUCCGCAAUGGGCGAAAGCCUGACGGAGCAACGCCGCGUGAGUGAUGAAGGGUUUCGGCUCGUAAAACUCUGUUAUUAGGGAAGAACAAAUGUGUAAGUAACUGUGCACGUCUUGACGGUACCUAAUCAGAAAGCCACGGCUAACUACGUG
rnacentral:rRNA from 1 species